rnacentral:lncRNA from 1 species
CGCCCGCCGCAUCCCUCACUCCUCACGUCUGCUUUGCUGCGGGCGGGAUCUGAACCGCUUCGUUGGUGAACCGCCCGCGGUUCGCACCUGGCAGUCGCCUGGAAGCGUGAGUAAGGGCGGUGUUUGUUAUUGUCUGCGGGCACUCGUUAGCUAAACGCGCAACUCCGGGAUGACUGGGUCCACUUCUUGUCCAUUUCCCUCACCCAUUCACUCAUUCGUUGAGCACCAGCCCCACUCCAGGAAUCUGGCAGUGAGAAGUGGCGUCAAAGGCCUCUCGGGCUGGUAAGAGGGACGCGACCAGCCGCUGCGGUCUGUGGCGAAGGCUGUGUGCCUAGGAGCUGAGAAGAGGCAUCUCCUUGUCCUCUGCGCGGAUCUCGGCCUGCAGCCGGUUAACCAAUGGAUGAAUGUUUAUUCUACACCUAAGAAGUGCGCUGCAGAGACCCGCUGCAUGGGGGCCGAGGAAAAGAGACGGCUUCUUUUCCUGGAUCACCCCAGCAGAGAUUGGACAUCUGACAUCUGCUACAUAAAACAAAACCUACGUAUGUUCAAAGCAUCCUCAUUGAAUGAGUUAUCAUGUCUGGUGAAUGAGGUAUUUUUGCUGAAUGCAGAACUCAUGCUCCUCAAAAAAUAUGACCCUCUAGGGAUCACAAGAAUAGGAGAGUUGAUACUCUCACCAAUAGCAUUAAUGUGUCUAUCUUUCCUUGCAAUGCUAACAAUCCAAGACAUAUGAAGACAAAAGGGAUCUGGAAACAAUCCAUACUAUUUGGGGGGAGGAGGAGAAACAGUGCUGGGGAUGGUAUCCAGGGCCUUAUGUACAAUAGGCAAGUGCUGUACCAUGGCUAAGCUAUGCAUCUGCCCCGUACUUUUUUUUAAUUAAACAUGUUAUUUUGAGAUUAUCGUAGAUUAACAUUCAGUUGUAAGAAAAUAAUACAAAGAUAUCCCUGUACCAGUACCCCUGAUGCUAAUCAUUUACAAAACUACAGUACAGGUCCAGUAUGGUGGUACACACCUGUAAUCUCAGCUAUUCCAGAGGCUGAGCGAAAAGGAACAUAAAUUCAAAUCUAGCCUCAGCAACUUAGUGAGACUCUGUCUCAAAAAAAAAAAAAAUGAAAAAGGCUGGGGUUGUGGUUCAGUGGUAGAGUGCUAGUCUAGCAUUAGUGAGGCACUGGGUUUGAUCCCCAGCACCA